UUUGGACAAUGGGGGAAACCCUGAUCCAGCCAUCCCGCGUGUGCGAUGAAGGCCUUCNNNUUGUANAGCACUUUUGGCAGGGANGACNAGGUUCUGGCUAAUAAUCGGAACUGCUGACGGUACCUGCAGCAUAAGCACCGGCUAACUACGUGCCAGCAGCCGCGGUAAUACGUAGGGUGCAAGCGUUAAUCGGAAUUACUGGGCGUAAAGCGUGCGCAGGCGGUUUGGCAAGAAGGAUGUGAAAUCCCGGGGCUUAACCUCGGAACUGCAUUCUUAACUGCCAGGCUAGAGUAUGUCAGAGGGGGGUAGAAUUCCACGUGUAGCAGUGAAAUGCGUAGUGAUGUGGAGGAAUACCGAUGGCGAAGGCAGCCCCCUGGGAUAAUACUGACGCUCAUGCACGAAAGCGUGGGGAGCAAACA
rnacentral:rRNA from 1 species